UAUGAGAAAUUAAAUGGCCGCGGUAUUUUAACCGUGCAAAGGUAGCACAGUCACUUGUCUCUUAAUUGGAGGCUUGAAUGAAGGGUUGGACGUGAUAUAAACCUUCUUUUUUAUAAUUGGUUGAAUUUGACCUUUGAGUCAAAAGGAUUAAAUUUAUUUAUAGGACGAGAAAACCCUAUAGGAUUUUAUAUUUUUAUGUUAAUAAUUUAUUUGUUUAUGAUUAGAUUUUUAAUAUAAAAAUAUUUUGUUGGGGCGAUGGGAAGAUUUUUUUAACUCUUUUUUAUUUAAUMCAUUGAUAUAUGUUUUUUGGAUCCUUUUUUAGAGAUUAAAAGAUUAAAUUACCUUAGGGAUAACAGCGUAAUUCUUUUGGAGAGUUCUUAUCGAUAAAGGAGUUAUGCGACCUCGAUGUUGAAUUAAGAUAAGUGCCAGGGGUAGGUUU
rnacentral:rRNA from 1 species